AUAAACUAUAGAGGAGCUUUUAACAAGAGUAAAUAGUGGAGCAGACAUGCUAUGAAGCUAUUGAAAGGGUAUAAGAGCCGAAGUGCUUUUAAAGGUAUUUAAAAGUAUUGGUAAGAAAACAUAAAAGUUUCUUAUUCUUUGGACUUAGUCCAUUGGUGCUAUAGUAUUA
rnacentral:ncRNA from 2 species